GCUGUUGCAGGGCUAUCCUCUGUCAGCUGCUUCUCAGAAGACCAAGAGCUUAGGCUGUGGCUGUGCCUCAUCCCAUUAGCCUUAGAGCUAAUCUCCGGCCAACACCGGCACCGCCCUCUAGUGUCUAGGGACAGUACACGUCAUGCCGUCAGGGAUCUCUGUAGUAUUGGUCAAACCAUCUCUCUCCACAGCCUUUCCUAUAAAGAUGUAUUAGAUGCUGUGUUGCCUGCUGUGAUAAUUAAUUUUAUGCAUCAAUGUGACUAAGCCACAGAAUACUCAGAAAUCUGGCAGACAUUAUCCACAAUGUGUCUGUGAGGGUGUUCUGGAUCAGAUUAACACUUUCAAUCAAUUGAAGACCUGAAUGUAACAAAAAGACUGAGUAAAAAGAGCAAAAGAUAGCAUAAAAGUGAUUUCCAGAUCUCCCAUGACCUUAGAUGAACUUUCAAAAAGUUUAAUCGCAGCAAGCAAGAAUCUGUCAAAUGGGGCAAGGAGAAACUGUGAUGAAGCUGUGGGCAGAGCUUUGCUAAAGAUUUUCUGCUUGUUGAACCUCUCAAAUACUGAAAGUUUCCUGGAGGUCUCUCCAUGAUAUGCUCAUUACUAAAGGAAUAGCUUCCAAUCUGCUGUAAGAAGCACUAUGCCAUCCAUUUGUUCCAGGACCUUAUCCUCUGCAGAAUAGUGAAGUGGUGAAAUAAAGAAAACAAUGAACAACAUCAUAAAUAAAU